ensembl:processed_transcript
GAAGAGAACUGCUCUGCUCCAGUAGGAGACCCACAACCCUCUGAUGAGCUUGUAUUGAAAGUUGACCAUAUGACAGAGGAAGAGAACUGCUCUGCUCCAGUACGUGACCCACAAAUCUCUGAUGAGCUUGUAUUGAAAGUUGACCAUAUGACAGAGGAAGAGAACUGCUCUGCUCCAGUACGUGACCCACAACUCUCUGAUGAGCUUUUAUUGAAGUAUGACCAUAUGACAGAGGAAGAGAACUGCUCUGCUCCAGUAGGAGACCCACAACUCUGAUGAGAGAAAGUUACAGUGGAUCGUGAUUUUGGAGAAGGUGAAGUCCAAUCUAAAAGAGUCCCCUCAAGUAUCAUCACCAUGGUACAGUGUCUGUGAAGAUAGUGAUGCAGACCCAGCAUUCACAAAAAAGAGAGGUCCCACAAAGAGAAGAUCCUGGAGCAAACAGGAAGUACAUGCUGUGGUGAAACCUGAACCAUUGGCUCUAAAAACCAGAGAUUGGUCAGCUUUGGAUUUUUAUAUUAAAAACUGAAUCUCGACUCUGAAUAACACUUUCAUAGUAACUACACACUAUACAUCAUUAGUUUAGCACUAACUCUACAUAAAUAGACUUUAGGAAGCAGUUUAUAAAUACAGCUUCAAACGCUGUAUUCUUGACUUGACUAAAUUGUAUUUUCAUGCUUUGU